AUUGAACGCUGGCGGCAUGCUUUACACAUGCAAGUCGAACGGUAUCAGCACUUCGGUGGCUGACGAGUGGCGAACGGGUGAGUAAUACAUCGGAACGUGCCUAGUAGUGGGGGAUAACUACUCGAAAGAGUAGCUAAUACCGCAUGAGAUCUAAGGAUGAAAGCAGGGGACCUUCGGGCCUUGCGCUACUAGAGCGGCUGAUGGCAGAUUAGGUAGUUGGUGGGAUAAAAGCUUACCAAGCCGACGAUCUGUAGCUGGUCUGAGAGGACGACCAGCCACACUGGGACUGAGACACGGCCCAGACUCCUACGGGAGGCAGCAGUGGGGAAUUUUGGACAAUGGGCGCAAGCCUGAUCCAGCAAUGCCGCGUGCAGGAUGAAGGCCUUCGGGUUGUAAACUGCUUUUGUACGGAACGAAAAGCCCUCUUCUAAUACAGGAGGGUCAUGACGGUACCGUAAGAAUAAGCACCGGCUAACUACGUG
rnacentral:rRNA from 1 species